GUCAAAAUGAUUGGGUUAAAUGUUCUCCUUGAACUAGGGUCACUACAUCUUCCUGAUUGGUCAGAAGGCCAUGGGCCAUGAGCAAGGCUGGUCCUGAGCGCAUUGCAUUCUGGUGCCAUAAAGAGGGACUCUUGGCUAGCAAUCUAUCAUAUUUAUAUUUAAACCUGUUCUCCAGUAAUAGAAAUUCUGCCUUCAGAUGCUACCUUUUUGAGCUUUUCCCCAGUGAGAAAUACAGCAGAGAAUAUAAGGAUAGAGUUGGAUGCUAACACAUAAGAGUUGGAGUCAAGAAGCACCAGGAUCAGGCAGCUAGGGGCUCAGUGGAUAAAGAGUAAAGCCUGGCAACAGAAAGUCUGGUGUUCACAGCUUCAGACUUUUUCUAGCUAUGUGAACUGGGAAAGGCACUUAACUUGUUCAGCCAUUACCACUCUUCUUUCUGCAUUGAAACCAAUAUCUAGUAUUGUUUCUAAGAAAGAAGGUAAGAGUUUUAAGAAAGAAGCAACCAAGAUGGACUAUGAUUUCUGAAAAUAAAGAAGAAACCACCUAUGGAUUCA
rnacentral:lncRNA from 1 species